GUAAAUGCCGAGUUUGCACUAAUUGAGUGUAACUUUUCAGAGGUUCCUGAAUCUAAGGCAAAUUACUUCUACUGUGUUGGACUCCAUAAAUACAGCCUAAGAUCUACAAUCUUCAUGAAAUGGGCUACAAUGAUCAGGCCCUGGGUACGUGACCUCGAUAUAUCUGGAAGGAAUUUGUUUACCCCGAAGACAAUCAUAGUGUUAAAUCUUUCACCCCAUAGGGACCAUCAGAUGGCUGUAACUUAAGUCAACGCUUUAUUGUUGAAAUAAAUGAAGUUAGCAAUUGUA